AGUGAACGCUGGCGGUAGGCCUAACACAUGCAAGUCGAACGGCAGCACAGUAAGAGCUUGCUCUUACGGGUGGCGAGUGGCGGACGGGUGAGGCAUACAUCGGAAUCUACUUUUUCGUGGGGGAUAACGUAGGGACACUUACGCUAAUACCGCAUACGACCUACGGGUGAAAGCAGGGGAUCUUCGGACCUUGCGCGAUUGAUUGAGCCGAUGUCGGAUUAGCUAGUUGGCUGGGUAAAGGCCCACCAAGGCGACGAUCCGUAGCUGGUCUGAGAGGAUGAUCAGCCACACUGGAACUGAGACACGGUCCAGACUCCUACGGGAGGCAGCAGUGGGGAAUAUUGGGCAAUGGGCGCAAGCCUGAUCCAGCCAUACCGCGUGGGUGAAGAAGGCCUUCGGGUUGUAAAGCCCUUUUGUUGGGAAAGAACAGCAGCAGGUUAAUACCCCGCUGUUCUGACGGUACCCAAAGAAUAAGCACCGGCUAACUUCGUG
rnacentral:rRNA from 1 species